rnacentral:rRNA from 1 species
UACCCUACGGGACGCAGCAGUGGGGAAUAUUGCACAAUGGGGGAAACCCUGAUGCAGCAACGCCGCGUGAGUGAGGAAGUAUUUCGGUAUGUAAAGCUCUAUCAGCAGGGAAUAGAAAAGAAGGUACCUGAAAAAGAAGCCCCGGCUAACUACGUGCCAGCAGCCGCGGUAAUACGCAGGGGGCAAGCGUUAUCCGGAUUUACUGGGUGUAAAGGGCGUGUAGCCGGGCUGACAAGUCAGAUGUGAAAUCCGGGGGCUCAACCCCCGAACUGCAUUUGAAACUGUUGGUCUUGAGUAUCGGAGAG